GCUGAUCACAUCUCUAUGCAUACAUCCACCAGUCCAUUUGUGCUUAGAACCAAUCUUGUGAUCUCACCCUAGCAACUCACAGAACUCUUCAUUCAGCUGUCAGCGCUAAGAAUUCUCCAUGUUUUCUUCCUCAUCUCCAUCCCUGGCAACAUUCUAACCAAUCAGGGUCAGGCCUGCUUCUUUAAUCUAUCUCCUUGUUUACACUACCCCUCUACUCUAGAUCUUGAGUGUCCACCAAAGGUCCAUGUGUCCCCAAGGCGAUUCGAUUAGCAUUAAGUCACAGUGCCUAAUGGGAGGGCUUCAAGACCCUGGGCAAACACUCUUGAGGGCAGUUACGGGAUAUUCCAUCCCUGCCUUCCUUCUCAUCCUAUUUUGCUUCCUGGCCAUGAGUUUUUAAGUAACAAGAAUGUGCAUUUUUGAUAUGGCUUGGAGGAAUGACAAAUUAACUCAUGCAAACCCUUAAACAGAGAAACUACUGGAAAACAUAUGGCUGAAAUCAGCUGGGUGAAAGGAAGGCAACAUGGUAGGGAGGACCAAGAACUGAAAUAGACAUUUGACAUUGAAAAAAACUCAGGUCUCCUCAGUGCCCCAAGGACACGCAGGACACAGCUCUGCUCCUCCUCCCUUGCUGCCCUCCUUCCUUCCAUCUUGGACACCCUGAGUUUUCAUCCAGCUGAGGGAGAUCUCCACUGGCUUGGCCAAUGCUUCCGGCAGCAGUCAAAACAGUCUGUCGAGGCUACAAACAGAAAACACGAUCUGGUUUGAACGAAGAUGAAUUUCUUCCCACGCCUCACCACGUAUCAGUCUAGUGAGGAAUCCAACAGAACAGCUCCUCCUCCACACAAAUGAAGAUCUCCAUUGUGUAUGCCAGAUAGGAGGGAAAAAAAGUAAAUCCUGGUGAGAUGCAGAGAAAUUCUCACCAACCAUUAACAGGCGGAUGCGCUUGAAAUUUCCAAUGAAUAGGUCUUGCACAAUUAGAACAAUGCUGUUUAUACAGAAGUUCAGUUGCAAACCUGUAGGUAUGCCCUUUGUGUACUAGUUGGAAUGGCUUUCUGCUAGGAGCACUCUCUCCACACUCCAAGUGUUGAACCACAGGAUCUGACCCACUUCAAUAACUCUCCAUUCUACCCUGUGAUAUUUUCUCAGGGUGAGCCAGAGCUCCAAAGAUGUGAAGAGAUACACAUGUCUCAUCUGAGUGCAACUGAGUGUCCUUAGGGCUCACCUCUCCAGAAGUAGGCUGCACAGCCUUCAGCAAAUCAGACACGGCCCCGGCGAGGGUCCUGGCAGCUCUGAGAAGGUCCUCCCCACUGCCCACAUCAUCGUCCAUGAGGGCUGCCAGCAGCUUGACCCCCUUGGACAUUUCGGUCAGGUUGGAAGAAAUUGUAGUGAUUGCACAGCCCACAGCUGUGUAGUCAGUGUCGGCGGGGUCACCUGAGACCAAGACCAAAGGAGAGUGGUGACAGACGAGGAGGGCCUAGCUUGGCAGGAGGUAGGCAGGCACCUGUGCCCCACCAUGCAGGUAUCAAUACAGAAUUCUGAGGAGCUCAGUGAAAUGGACAUCACCCUGACUCCAAGGUCUUCAAUAAGGUCCUCUCACCUGGAGGUCUCACAUACUGAAACAGUGAACCAAGGGUCCUUUAGAAUUCCAAAGCAAAGGGGACUAGAGGAACUGGAGUUGGGGGUAGGGUUGGAAAUGAUGAAAAUAUAGUAUACUCAGAUAUGAAAUUAUAAGUGUGUGUAUGUAUAUAUAUGCACACACACACACACACACACACACACACACACACAUAUAUGUAAAGGUGCUUAACAGGUCUGACAACCUGUAUUGGUCCCCCACAGCAUAAUGAUGAAAAAGAGAGAUCUAACUCCCUAAACUCAUCCUCUGCCCUCCACACGUGCACUGUGGCACAUGUGUGUAACCCCACUUCACUCUGAUGUAAAUGUAACUAAAAACUAAAAGAAAAACUCAAAGCAUUUUCCUUGCAAAUAUAAAGACCCAAGUUCAAAUAAAACCUGAACCAAAA